rnacentral:rRNA from 1 species
UAAUACGAAGGGGGCAAGCGUUGUUCGGAAUGACUGGGCGUAAAGGGCGCGUAGGCGGCGCGUUGCGUCAGAUGUGAAAUCCCCGGGCUCAACCUGGGAAUGGCAUUUGAUACGGGCGUGCUGGAAUCCGUGAGAGGUUGGUGGAAUUCCCAGUGUAGAGGUGAAAUUCGUAGAUAUUGGGAAGAACACCAGUGGCGAAGGCGGCCAACUGGCACGGUAUUGACGCUGAGGCGCGAAAGCGUGGGGAGCAAACAGG